rnacentral:pre_miRNA from 1 species
CUUGGGGGCGGGGGUGGUCCCUUAGCCUGGAUUGCGAGAGGGCACAGGCUAGGCUGAGGGACCCCACUGGUGCAUG